rnacentral:rRNA from 1 species
UCGAACGGAAUUUAAAAGAGCUUGCUCUUUUAAAUUUAGUGGCGCACGGGUGAGUAAUAUAUAGCUAAUCUGCCCCUUGCUGGAGGACAACAGUUAGAAAUGACUGCUAAUACUCCAUACUCCUUUUUACCAUAAGAUAAAUCGGGAAAGAAUUUCGGCAAGGGAUGAGACUAUAUCGUAUCAGCUAGUCGGUGGGGUAACGGCCUACCGAGGCUAUGACGCGUAACUGGUCUGAGAGGAUGAUCAGUCACAUUGGAACUGAGACACGGUCCAAACUCCUACGGGAGGCAGCAGUAGGGAAUAUUGCGCAAUGGGGGAAACCCUGACGCAGCAACGCCGCGUGGAGGAUGACACUUUUCGGAGCGUAAACUCCUUUUGUUAGGGAAGAAUAAUGACGGUACCUAACGAAUAAGCACCGGCUAACUCCGUGCCAGCAGCCGCGGUAAUACGGAGGGUGCAAGCGUUACUCGGAAUCACUGGGCGUAAAGGACGCGUAGGCGGAUUAUCAAGUCUCUUGUGAAAUCUAACGGCUCAACCGUUAAACUGCUUGGGAAACUGAUAAUCUAGAGUAAGGGAGAGGCAGAUGGAAUUCUUGGUGUAGGGGUAAAAUCCGUAGAUAUCAAGAAGAAUACCUAUUGCGAAGGCGAUCUGCUGGAACUUAACUGACGCUAAUGCGUGAAAGCGUGGGGAGCAAACAGGAU